CAGCUGGUACUUACUGACAGGGACCGCGUAUGGUGACCGAACCGUGGGUCAUUAUCACAGGACCGGGGGUUAUUAUUACCAGAACCGGGAGGUGAUUUUAACCAGAACGGGUGUUAUCACAGAACCGGGGGUCAUUAUUACCAAAUCCGGGGUUAUUAUAACACAACCGGGGUUCAUUAUUACCAAUACCACAACCCGGGGUUAUCAUCACAGAACCGGGGGUUAUUAUCACCAAAACCGGUGGUCAUUAUCACCAGAACCAGUGGUCAUUAUGACCAGAACUGGAGGUGAUUAUUACCAGAACCAGCAGUUAUCACCAGAAGUCAUUUUCAUCAGAACCGGGGGUUAUCACCAAAACCGGGGGUCGUAAUCACCAUAACUGGGGGGUCACUAUCACCAGAACGAAAAGUCAUUAUAACCAGAACCGGAGGGGAUUAUUACCAGAACUGGAGGUGGUUAUCACCAGAAUCAGUGGUCAUUAUCAUCAGAACUGGGGGUCAUUAUCACCAGAACCGGAGGUCAUUAUCACCAGAACCAGGCAUCAUUAUCACUAUAACUAGAGGUGAUUAUCACCAGAACUGGGGAGUCAUUAUCACCAGAACUGGGGGUCAUUAUCAGCAGAACCGGAGGUGAUUAUUACCAGAACUAGGGGUUAUCACCAGAACCAGUGGUCAUUAUCACCAUAACUGGUGGUCAUUAUCACAGAACCGGGGGUUAUUAUUACCAGAGCCCGGAAGUGAUUAUUACCAGCACCGGGUGUCAUUAUAAAGAGAACCGGGUGUUAUCACAGAACCGGGGGUCAUUAUUACCAAAACCCGGGGUUAUUAUAACACAAAUGGGGUUCAUUAUUACCAAUACCAGAACCGGGCUUUAUUAUCACAGAACCGGUGGUCAUUAUCACCAGAACCGGGGGUCAUUAUCACCAGAACUGGAGGUGAUUAUUACCAGAACCAGAGGUCAUUAUCACAAGAACCGGGGGUCGUUAUCACCAUAACUGGGGGGUCAUUAUCACCAGAACUGGAGGUCACUAUCACCAGAACCAAAGGUCAUUAUAACCAGAAACGGAGGUGAUUAUUACCAGAACUGGAGGUGGUUAUCACCAGAAGCAGUGGUCAUUAUCACCAGAACUGGAGGUCAUUAUCACCGGAACAGGAGGUUAUUAUCACCAUAACCGGGGGUCAUUAUCACCAGAAACAGGCAUCAUCAUCACCAUAACUAGAGGUGAUUAUCAUUAGAACUGGGGGGUCAUUAUCACCAGAACUGGGGGUCAUUAUUAGCAGCACCGGAGGUGAUUAUUACCAGAACUAGAGGUUAUCACCAGAACCAGUGAUCAUUAUCACCAUAACUGGGGUCAUUAUCACCAGAACCGGGGGUUAUUAUCACCAGAACCUUAUCACCAGAACCGGGAGUCAUUAUCACCAGGACUGGGGGUCAUUAUUUGCACAGCAAAAGUUUUGGUUUCAGAAUAAAUUUUUGUUUCAGGAA